UGAGCCUGCCCUUGACGGCGAGUGAACGGAGAUUAGCCCAUCACCGAAGCCCAUUCGCGUUUGUGAACAGGGCCAUGUGGUGUUAGGGUGUGUGCCUGGGGCUGCUGACCUAUUUGAAGUCCGACUUCGAUUACGGCUUGGAUAUGUCCCAUAGCGGGUGAAAGGCCCGUUCGGAUAGGUUCUGGCAAGCAGCGGCCCUCAGAUGCGCAUACCUACGAGUCGGAUUGCUUGAGAAUGCAGUCCAAAGUGGGUGGUAAACUCCAUCCAAGGCUAAAUACUGGCUCGAGUCCGAUAGUAGACAAGUACCGUGAGGGAAAGUUGAAAAGUACUCUGAAGAGAGAGUAAACAGUACGUGAAGCCAUUUGCAGGGAAGCUGGUGGAGUCAAGCUUCCAGCCCGGUUAACUGCCGUUCGGGGCACCGUGUGAUAGGACGCGUGGUCGGUCAAAGUGCAAAGCUUUGGGCACAUCCCGUGUGCUUCAAGGUGGUACUGGGUAGUACCUUUGUGCUGGCCCGCAGUUUGUCCAGCCGCGAGCGGUGAAUUGGCCCGGGCCGAGAUCACGAUGGACAGUAGUCCGUGCUGUGCGAUGGUCUAACUGUUGCGUGGCCCGGCAGCAAAUGCUUGGCACGCCUGCGGGAAUGC
rnacentral:rRNA from 1 species